CUGGAUAGGACGAAUUAACUCUGUUAAAAUGAACGUCCUCCCGAGGAUUUUAUUCUUGUUCCAAGCUCUCCCAGUCCACGUCACCAAAGCACAACUGAACCCGCUACAAGGGUCGAUAGCUGACUUCAUAUGGCAGAACAAGAGGCAUAGGAUAUCAAGACAGAUGCUCUAUAGACGAAAAGAAAGAGGGGCGCUGGGCCUCCCAAAUCUAUACUUCUAUUAUCUUGCAGCUCAACUAACACAGGUAGCUAUGUGGCAUUCCCCUCCGGAAGAGCGGAGAUGGGUCGAGAUAGAAUCCAUGAUGGUGGGAUGGGAC